GACCUCAAAUCAGGUAAGGAUACCCGCUGAACUUAAGCAUAUCAAUAAGCGGAGGAAAAGAAACCAACAGGGAUUGCCUUAGUAACGGCGAGUGAAGCGGCAAAAGCUCAAAUUUGAAAUCUAGUGCCUUUGGUACUCGAGUUGUAAUUUGAAGAAUUUUUCUCCGAACAGUCCUUUAUCUAUGUUCCUUGGAACAGGACGUCAUAGAGGGUGAGAAUCCCGUGUGAUUUUGGAUACUGUUCAUUGUGAGAUUUAUUCGAAGAGUCGAGUUGUUUGGGAAUGCAGCUCUAAGUGGGUGGUAAGUUCCAUCUAAAGCUAAAUAUUGGCGAGAGACCGAUAGCGAACAAGUACAGUGAUGGAAAGAUGAAAAGAACUCUGAAGAGAGGGUGAAAAAGUACGUGAAAUUGCUGAAAGGGAAGGGCUUUAGGUCAGACUUGGUGUUUAAUACUCAGUUCUCCUUGUGGGAGCUGCUCUUGUUUUUCACUGGGCCAAUAUCAGUUUUGGCGGUAGAGCACCUCUGGAAAUGUAGCUGCCUUCGGGUAGUGUUAUAGUCUGGGGACGAUCUACUGCUGGGACUGAGGUCUGCGCAUUUUGCUAGGAUAUUGGCAUAAUGACCUUAAGC
rnacentral:rRNA from 1 species